rnacentral:misc_RNA from 1 species
GAUGAAGAACGUAGUGAAAUGCGAUAAUUAAUGUGAAUUGCAGAAUUCAGUGAAUCAUCGAGUCUUUGAACGCACAUUGCGCCCCCUGGUAUUCCGGGGGGCAUGCCUGUCCGAGCGUCAUUGCUGCCCUCAAGCACGGCUUGUGUGUUGGGCUUCCGUCCCUGGCAACGGGGACGGGCCCAAAAGGCAGUGGCGGCACCAUGUCUGGUCCUCGAGCGUAUGGGGCUUUGUCACCCGCUCCCGUAGGUCCAGCUGGCAGCUAGCCUCGCAACCAAUCUUUUUAACCAGGUUGACCUCGGAUCAGGUAGGGAUACCCGUUGAACUUAAGCAUAUCAAUAAGCGGAGGA